rnacentral:piRNA from 1 species
UUUCAAGGAUACCAAUUUCAUGGAAAUAGA